UGGUUCUGGCAUCGAUGAAGAACGCAGCGAAAUGCGAUAAGUAAUGUGAAUUGCAGAAUUCAGUGAAUCAUCGAAUCUUUGAACGCACAUUGCGCCCAUUAGUAUUCUAGUGGGCAUGCCUGUUCGAGCGUCAUUUCGACCAUUAAGCCUAGUUGCUUAUUGUUGGGAGCCUACGGUAUCACCUGUAGCUCCUCAAAGUUAGUGGCGGAGUUCAUUCCAACUCUAGGCGUAGUAAUUCUAUCUCGCUUUUGUAGUGGUUUGAUCCCCUGCCGUAAAACCCCCAAUUUUAACUGGUUGACCUCGGAUCAGGUAGGAAUACCCGCUGA
rnacentral:misc_RNA from 1 species